CCUACGGGAGGCUGCAGUGGGGAAUAUUGGACAAUGGGCGAAAGCCUGAUCCAGCCAUGCCGCGUGUGUGAAGAAGGCCUUCGGGUUGUAAAGCACUUUCAGUGGGGAAGAAAGCCUUGGGUCUAAUACCCUCGAGGAAGGACAUCACCCACAGAAGAAGCACCGGCUAACUCCGUGCCAGCAGCCGCGGUAAUACGGAGGGUGCGAGCGUUAAUCGGAAUUACUGGGCGUAAAGCGCGCGUAGGCGGUCUGAUAAGCCGGUUGUGAAAGCCCCGGGCUCAACCUGGGAACGGCAUCCGGAACUGUCAGACUAGAGUGCAGGAGAGGAAGGUAGAAUUCCCGGUGUAGCGGUGAAAUGCGUAGAGAUCGGGAGGAAUACCAGUGGCGAAGGCGGCCUUCUGGACUGACACUGACGCUGAGGUGCGAAAGCGUGGGUAGCAAACAGGAUUAGAUACCCUAGUAGUC
rnacentral:rRNA from 1 species